rnacentral:rRNA from 1 species
UACGGAGGGUGCAAGCGUUAUCCGGAUUCACUGGGUUUAAAGGGUGCGUAGGUGGGCAGGUAAGUCCGUGGUGAAAUCUCUGAGCUUAACUCAGAAACUGCCGUGGAUACUAUCUGUCUUGAAUAUUGUGGAGGUAAGCGGAAUAUGUCAUGUAGCGGUGAAAUGCUUAGAUAUGACAUAGAACACCAAUUGCGAAGGCAGCUUACUACACAGUAAUUGACGCUGAGGCACGAAAGCGUGGGGAGCAAACAGG